UUCCAGGCAACACUUUAUAUCGAAACAACUAUUCAAUAUAUGUAGCUUUUGUAAAAAAAUUGGUUUUAGGCAUUGAAAAAACAACAAAAAGAAGUCUCAAAAGCCUCCAUAUUUAAACAAAAAUAUAAUUAAAACAAUCUGUAGCACUUCCAAGGGCUCUGAGCUGCCUUAGCCACCAUAUAUUGUGGUAGGUGGUGGGCAGAUUGAAGAACUUUUGACCUCAUUCCUGAACUCUUGGAGACGGGAAGCCCAAUGAACCGUCCUUCAGAAACGGAUGGACCAGUUGCACCAUCACAGGGCCUGGACAAUGAAACCUCAGUCUAGUGCUCAACUUAUGGAUAAGUAGAAGAUGGGGGGCUGACAUCCCGAUGGGUUGAGGUUGUUACAGGUCACGGAGGUUUCGGGGGAUACUUUCACAUGGUCGUCAGGAGGGAAGCGUCCUCCAUUUGUCACGAUGCAGCGCAACGUACUUUGUUCGGCUUGGAGCUCUGGUGCUGGCGUAACUUCUAGUCCCAGAGAAAGCUAUAAUGUAGUCGUCUCUGUAGUCAAUGUCUUUUUAGUCCGUAGGUUAUAUUAAAGUCAAUUAAUAUGUAAUAAUUUUAAGUACAAAUACUAUCAGGUUACACCAUUUUUAAUA